UGGGGAUAUUGCGCAAUGGGGGGAACCCUGACGCAGCAACGCCGCGUGAAGGAAGAAGGUCUUCGGAUCGUAAACUUCUGUCUUCAGGGACGAAAACUGACGGUACCUGAGGAGGAAGCCACGGCUAACUACGUGCCAGCAGCCGCGGUAAUACGUAGGUGGCAAGCGUUGUCCGGAUUUACUGGGUGUAAAGGGCGUGUAGGCGGGACUGCAAGUCAGAUGUGAAAUACCGGGGCUCAACUCCGGGGCUGCAUCUGAAACUGUUGGUCUUGAGUAUCGGAGAGGUAAUCGGAAUUCCUUGUGUAGCGGUGAAAUGCGUAGAUAUAAGGAAGAACACCAGUGGCGAAGGCGGAUUACUGGACGACAACUGACGGUGAGGCGCGAAAGCGU
rnacentral:rRNA from 1 species